rnacentral:tRNA from 1 species
CAGAGUGUGGCUGAGACAGAUAGGCAUCUCCCUUACACCGAGAAUACACCCAAGCGAUUUGGGUCGCUCUGA